rnacentral:rRNA from 1 species
GACGAACGCUGGCGGCGUGCCUAAUACAUGCAAGUCGAGCGAAUCUUUAGGAGCUUGCUCCUAAAGGUUAGCGGCGGACGGGUGAGUAACACGUGGGCAACCUGCCUAUAAGACUGGGAUAACUUCGGGAAACCGGAGCUAAUACCGGAUAAUUCCUUUCCUCUCAUGAGGAAAGGCUGAAAGACGGUUUCGGCUGUCACUUAUAGAUGGGCCCGCGGCGCAUUAGCUAGUUGGUGAGGUAACGGCUAACCAAGGCAACGAUGCGUAGCCGCCCUGAGAGGGUGAUCGGCCACACUGGGACUGAGACACGGCCCAGACACCUACGGGAGGCAGCAGUAGGGCAUCUUCCGCAAUGGACGAAAGUCUGACGUGGCAACGCCGCGUGAGUUAUGAAGGUUUUCGGAUCGUAAAACUCUGUUGUUAGGGAAGAACAAGUACGGGAGUAACUGCUCGUACCUUGACGGUACCUAACCAGAAAGCCACGGCUAACCACGUGCCAGCCGCCGCAGUAACAC